AUGCAACAAUGGGGAGAGGUGAAAAAAGAUGUUCAAAAUCUAAUUCAAAAUGAGCUCCCUGAUGAGGUAUACUGGAAACUUGAUAGUACUAGAAAGUACACCACGAAAUCAAUGUAUAGGUGGCUAGAAAAGGACCUUGCUGGAGCAUGCUUUAAAUGGAUUUGGGAGGCCUGCAUGCGUCUAAAAAUUCAAAUAUUUAUGUGGCAGGUCUGUCAGGAUGCUCUUACUAGAGAUAACAUGAAAAAAAUACAAUGGCAGGGGAACCCGCAUUGCUCGUUUUGUGAUUAG
rnacentral:rRNA from 1 species